rnacentral:misc_RNA from 1 species
UUGGAUCCGACGAAGUCGUAACAAGGUAGCCGUACCGGAAGGUGCGGCUGGAUCACCUCCUUUCUAAGGAGCACCACGAAAAGGGUUGAGACACUGGGUCUUACCCGAGCCGUGAGGAGUCUGUGCGCUGUAGUGGCGCCGGCUUGGUGCACAACAAACUUCUUUGACUGCCAGACACACUAUUGGGCUUUGAGACAACAGGCCCGUGCCCCUUUUCGGGGGGUGGCAUCCGGUUGCGGGUGUCGGCGUGUUGUUGCUCC